rnacentral:lncRNA from 1 species
AUGAGCUUGUGCAACUGAAAAAUUUAACCCUGUCAUUUCUCUGCCCACCCCUCCGUUUUUGUAACUUCUUGUUUUGAUCCAGUCAGCCAACUCUGUGCAUUUUCUGGAAUUCAGAUGGGCCAUCUGCUACCCACACAUUCAAGAAGAAAGCCACACAAAAAAGGCAGCAAGGAUGAUGUUUUCCCAUGCAAGCUGAAGUGACUCUCACUUUUGAGGUUUGAACCCCUCUGGUGAGCAGCAUCACAAAUGUGAUACAGACCUUCAGUAAUUACUGAAGCAGCAGUUUGUCACAAGCUGCCUGCAGCACUGAUGGACAAUCUGCUGGUGGGUAUUGUUAGAGGAAGGAAUAUGUAAGACAUGAUAUUUGUGACAGCCUUCACUUGGGUUU